rnacentral:lncRNA from 1 species
CCGUAGAGUACUGGGCGAGUUGGUAUAGAUUCAUGUCGAAGCGAAGCGCGAGGAAAACAGGACACAGUAAAGAACACAGGGGACAGGCGCUAACUGGGAACUACAAAUUCUACAUGCACCAAUG